AAGCAAAAAGCGUUUCCGUCGUCCGUUUUUUUGUUGCCCCUGCCUUUCAGUCGAAAUUACAAAGAUUGCCACCGCUGAGUUAAAUAACGUUUUGGUCCGGUCUGUUUCGCCCGCCGGGUCUCUUUCCUUCCUCCGCGUCGCCUAGGCUGCACCUCCACACCUCGCUGCCCCGGACUCCUUCCCCAACUGCGCCUCCCCGGGCCCAUUCAACAAAUACGACUCCGCCGGCCCCUUGAUCCACGGCCCUUCCCCUGGCUCCACAUCGAAUAUGCCCGUCGCCUGAUUCAAGCUCGGUCUCCCGGUGCGGCUCAGACCUCCAUGGCGAGGACGCCCGCCGCCGUCGAAUCCACAUACCCCGCUGCUCGAUCUCCCCCAAAUUCAUUGGCGAAUUCACCUACCCCACUGCUCGAUCUCCCCCAAAUUCAACUACUCGGCGCUCGCGAUUCUUCCCCAAAUACAGAGUCCUCCACGGCCUGGUCCUCCUCCAGCCAAAAUCCCGGAGAUCCCAUGUAUGAACGGCUCCUGCCGUGCGCUGCGCUAGCGCGGGGCAGAGGAGGGAGGCGACGGCACUUGGCGUUGUACUGCCUGACGAGGAGGUUGGCGGGGUUGGGCGGGUGGGCACGCGGCGGCAGGUGGUCUGGAACUCCGCCCGUGUAGAAGGGCCUGAGGAGGAAGGGAAGAUGGAGGAGCACGAGGACAGCGGGGAGGGCGAGGCGCUUCACGGAUGCCAUCCGUAUCUCACAUCAUAUGCCCAUCGAGGUUCCGGCUAAUGGAGCACAAGGGAUGGGGGCUGCUAAAGAGAAAGACAACAUGUACUGAAUUGCAUCUAAUUGCUAUUGCGAUAUUGCCAGAACUA